rnacentral:lncRNA from 1 species
UGGUGCAGUUAACUAAUGUGUUUGGUGAUUGUUUUGGCUGAUUUCAAUGGUGUUUUGAAGUCCAAUUGAAGCAGCCAAGCUAUGAAAAAAUAGGCUUAGGCUUUGUCUUGGCUUAAGGGUGAAAGGGAGUGGAAAACAUAAUACUUACAACACCUAGUGAGGUGUCAAAACAAGGUGAAACUUAUUUAAGGUCAGAAUACUUAACCUUAAAUUCUUCUAAAGAAGGUGUUUGGAUAGUUGAAACAUUCAUUACAACGGAUUUAUAUUGUUUGGUGUUUUUUAAUCCUACAAACUGUCAAUUUUAGGAUCAAGGAACAACUGAGGUUAUUGGACUUGUUAUGGCACUGAAGCAUGUAUUCCAAAAAAUGGAUCAUACAGAACUCAUCACCUUCACCUUUUUAGAUUUUCUGUCUUCUUUUGGUCUAGCCCUAUUUGCCAUUUGGAAGCACCCUCUUUCCUAUUUUCUUCUCUUCCUUUUCUACCAAUUCACUCUUUUUUCCAUUAUCUUCACCUUUUCCGUCUUCUUUCACCUCAUCACAUUAUUAAACUCUUCUUUUAUCAUACCCCUAGCUCUCUCUGUUCACAAUUAUCCCACUAUUUUCAUUGCAUGU